AGCAGCCGCCGCGGGAAUACAGAGGGUGCGAGCGUUAAUCGGAUUUACUGGGCGUAAAGCGUGCGUAGGCGGCUUCUUAAGUCGGAUGUGAAAUCCCUGAGCUUAACUUAGGAAUUGCAUUCGAUACUGGGAAGCUAGAGUAUGGGAGAGGAUGGUAGAAUUCCAGGUGUAGCGGCGAAAUGCGUAGAGAUCUGGAGGAAUACCGAUGGCGAAGGCAGCCAUCUGGCCUAAUACUGACGCUGAGGUACGAAAGCAUGGGGAGCAAACAGGAUUAGAUACCCCAGUAGUCCCUGUCUCUUAUAC
rnacentral:rRNA from 1 species